rnacentral:pre_miRNA from 1 species
AAAGUACUCCCUCCGUCCCAAAAUUCUUGUCUUAGAUUUGUCUAGAUACGGAUGUAUCAAGUCACAUUUUAGUAUUAGAUACAUCCGUAUCUAGACAAUCUAAGACAAGAAAUUUGGGACAGAGGGAGUAGUUG